UGUAGUGUGUGGUGGUUGAUGGUGUCGGAAUGAGAUAAUCUGGCAACUGCCUCCCCUUCAAAAUCGAAUUCGAACCUCUUAAAGAUCAGGAUGAGUGCCAUACUAUAAGGCAAGUGAGCCUUAGACCUGUUCAGGGUCUCCCUCAUGGCCUCAAACAUUAAAGCAGGAAGGUUCAAGGGGGUCUCAGUGAUCACAUGGUACAUGAUGCAAAUAUCCCUACU
rnacentral:lncRNA from 1 species